rnacentral:rRNA from 1 species
UACAGAGGUCUCGAGCGUUAGGCGGAAUCACUGGGCUUAAAGCGUGUGUAGGCGGACUGGUAAGUACCUUGUGAAAUCCCACGGCUCAACCGUGGAACUGCUUGGUAUACUGCUUGUCUUGUGCAACCUAGGGGCGAGCGGAACAGAUGGUGGAACGGUGAAAUGCGUAGAUAUCAUCUGGAACGCCAAUGGUGAAAACAGCUCGCUGGGGGUUUGCAGACGCUGAGACACGAAAGCCAGGGGAGCAAACGGG